UCAACUGAAGCUGGGACGAUAGCUCGUGUAAUUGCUGAUGGCACAAUAACCCUGGCUGGAUUCCUAGGCGAGAGUAGGCUCUUGAAUGCCACCCUUCUUCCUUCGCUCUUUAUUUCUGUGGCCUCCAUAAUUGCCACUUGUUUUACCUAUAACUCACUCUAUUGAUUCUUAUGUUGUAUGGACAAGUCAUUUGAUAUGUGAAGUCUAGCUUCUCAAUUUUGUUCCUCUUUUUUCAAUAAGAAUCAAUAGAGUGAG
rnacentral:misc_RNA from 1 species